UCAUCUGCUCAACCCCACUCACUGAUGUGAAACUACCAAAUUGCAAACACUCCUGUACGGAACCUGGGCGACCCGUUUUGGAUUCCGUCCUUCUAAGAGAGAAGAUUUACAUAGGGACCUUGUUGAAAAUCUUCAGAGAGUGGACUUCCCUGGUGAAGUGACCCCCUAAGAGCACACAGCAAAUUCUUGUUGAAGAAAGCAGAGUUUUGGCCAAUCCAGUUUAAUUUUCAGACCCAGUCAGAGACCCUCAGAGAGCCCAGGAAAACUGUUUCCUCCCGUUUGUAAUUCUUAGCUGAAUAAAGUUUGAGGACCUCCGAUUGAAUGGAAGGCAGAUGGGACCAGAAAAAUAAAAUGAAUAAAAAUGUUACAAGGAGCAGGCACAUAAAAGCACCCACGUGCAAACACACAGCAACGUCAGAUCGACACAAAUGACGUGAGAGACAUGUUGUUUGCAUGCCUUUUGAAAGCGGUGUUCUCUAUAUGUAAAAAUAUUGAAUUGCAACAUAGCUCCCAGAGGGAAAAUUGGAUGAAGGAGUUCGGGGCAUGUGACCCUCCAAAAUGUGUUGCUUUGGCGUGUUGAUUAUUUUGAGCUGGAGACACUUGAAAACCUGCAGAUACAGAGAAGUCUGCUCUGAAUUAUCUGACUAACGUUCCCCCAGAAGGAACCCAGUUCUCAGCAUUCCCCUCCCGGGAAUGUCAUCGACCUGGAAGAUUGAAUCUUGUCAGAGAAGAGGAGGCAAGAGGUCGACCCCACACCAGACAGACCUUGUCACAAACUGUCACACCUCCCAUCUGUUCUUCUAAGGGUCCAGCCAUCUUUCCUAAAAUCAUUGACUCUCUCCUGUGGGGCCCACAUCCCCCUCCCGCUCCCCUAUUAAGACAAUAGAUAAGCUCUCAAAACUCACUGCUUUUUGGGUGUCCACAUUUUUUUCUGUGACACCCCCAUGCACAUAAUA